rnacentral:rRNA from 1 species
GAUGAACGCUGGCGGCGUGCUUAACACAUGCAAGUCGAACGGAAAGGCUCCUGCUUGCAGGGGUACUCGAGUGGCGAACGGGUGAGUAACACGUGGGUGAUCUGCCCUGCACUUCGGGAUAAGCCUAGGAAACUGGGUCUAAUACCGGAUAGGACGAUGGUUUGGAUGCCAUUGUGGAAAGUUUUUCGGUGUGGGAUGAGCUCGCGGCCUAUCAGCUUGUUGGUGGGGUGAUGGCCUACCAAGGCGUCGACGGGGAGCCGGCCUGAGAGGGUGUACGGCCACAUUGGGACUGAGAUACGGCCCAGCCGCCUACGGGAGGAAGCGGUGGGGAAUAUUGCACAAUGGGCGCCAGCCUGAUGCAGCGAGGCCGCGUGGGGGAUGACGGCCUUCGGGUUGUAAACUCCUUUCGCGAGGGACGAAGCGUUUUGUGACGGUACCUGGAGAAGAAGCACCGGCUAACUACGUG